CUUUAUAAGAUGAUCAGAUAGAAGAUAUCCAUCAUCGACCAGCUUCUUAAGGUCAGCGAGCUUGGAAGGUCCCUGCUCAACACCAAAUUGGUCAAGGUAAAACCACUUCCCCAUAACAGUAGAGGGCUCAACACUGGGUUUAGGUGCUUCACUGGUGUGAGGUGGUGUGUCACAAAUAUCCAUGUCUUCUUCCAUUGAGACAUCUUCAACAACAACAUCAUUGGGCUGCUCAGGUACUGGUGGUGGUGGCAGGGGAGGAGGCAUGCUAGGUGGUAAAGGCGGAGGUGGAGGUGGAGGAGGAGGCGGCGGCGGCAGUAAUGGAGGUGGUGGUGGCAGCUCAGUAUAUUGAAUGCUCUCGGUUGCCUUUUCCUUCGAGAUCCUCUCCUCGCUCUUUCCGUUGCUACCACUCUUAUUCUUACAUGAUUGCUUCAUUGAUUUAUUUUUGUGUUGUGCAUUUUCCAGGUUCUUGCUUUCAAGCUUAGCACCUCUGCUCUUCUUGCUUGCUUCAUGGCUAUCAGUAGUUCGGCCGCGUUCAGAUGGUGAUCUAUCAGUACGG
rnacentral:lncRNA from 1 species